rnacentral:rRNA from 2 species
UUGCUUCUGAUUGAUAACAUUUGAGUGAGUGGCGGACGGGUGAGUAACACGUGGGUAACCUGCCCUAAAGUGGGGGAUAACAUUUGGAAACAGAUGCUAAUACCGCAUAAAACCUAGCACCGCAUGGUGAAGGUUGAAAGAUGGUUUCGGCUAUCACUUUAGGAUGGACCCGCGGUGCAUUAGUUAGUUGGUGAGGUAAAGGCUCACCAAGACCGUGAUGCAUAGCCGACCUGAGAGGGUAAUCGGCCACACUGGGACUGAGACACGGCCCAGACUCCUACGGGAGGCAGCAGUAGGGAAUCUUCCACAAUGGACGAAAGUCUGAUGGAGCAACGCCGCGUGAGUGAAGAAGGUUUUCGGAUCGUAAAACUCUGUUGUUGGAGAAGAACGUAUUUGAUAGUAACUGAUCAGGUAGUGACGGUAUCCAACCAGAAAGCCACGGCUAACUACGUGCCAGCAGCCGCGGUAAUACGUAGGUGGCWADGCGUUUGUCCGGGAUUUAUUGYGCGUAAGCGAGCKCWGCGUUUCUUAAUUUGAGUGAAGCUCGGUCAACGAAAAGUSCWCG